GCCUGCUUAGUCAAAUGGCAUGACAUUCGAAAGCACUGUGCUCGUCGAAAAGUGAUGGUUCGAUUCCAUCAGCGGGCA